UUUCCGUAGGUGAACCUGAGGAAGGAUCAUUAAAGUUAUAGUCCCCCGGCCCUCUGGACUGGGGUCUUCUAUACCACCCUUUGUUUAUUUCACCUUUGUUGCUUUGGCAGGCCUGCCCUCGGGCUGCUGGCUCCGGCCGGCUCGCGUCUGCCAGAGGACCUAAACUCUGUUUGUAUAUGAAGUCUGAGUACUAUAUAAUAGUUAAAACUUUCAACAACGGAUCUCUUGGUUCUG
rnacentral:misc_RNA from 1 species